ensembl:lncRNA
ACUGACCCACCUGGUGGAAACAGGUUUGUGCUCAACUUACAGAAUAAAAAAAAGCCCACCUGUGUUAAAGAAGAAGAAGAAGAAGAAGAAGAAGAAGAAGAAGAAGAAGAAACAAACAGACACAAUAGGAGCAAACAUUAAUGUAGGAAUAUAAAUGUCCCUCGACUCAAAGCCUGGUACAUUUAAACGACUCCGUUAACUAUUUUGUCAGGUCUUGAGCCUUUGAAGACUAAUUUCUGCCCACUGAAGCAGACAAAACUGACAUCCUCUGGGUCAAGGUACGGGAAAUGGACUUGGGAAGCACAGGUGAAACACUAGACAGCUUGAAUAUGAUAUUUCCUGUGUGUUCAGCUACUCUUUUCUUGUUCAGAUCUGUAUGAUGAUUAGUUACUGGGACAUGGAGAGGUAUGCAUGCCUGCUGAGCCAGAGGAAGAGAUGAAUACCAAAGUGUGUUCAAACCCCCCUCAUCCCCCUCCCCUUUCUCCAAAGACUGCUAAUCUAUGUAUUCUUGUUACACCAUUCACUGGACUGUGAAGAUUUCUCAAAUAUUCUCGAGGGGCACUUUUGCCUCCAUGUAGACUAGAAGUAUCAUGGUUCCUCUCAGGAGGCAAAGCUAGCCAACACUUAACGUAGAAAUCACAAACUCUCAUUUGCAGAAUUUAUCCGGAAAUGUAUAGACAGACAUUCAAUUAUACUCUUUUCACGCCAUUCAAUGAAGCUAUCGCAUCUUUUGCCAGCUAGCUGCAGGCCAAAUGGCAAAGUCUGUAGGGUCACCACUUUCAUACAAUCAUGAGACUGAUUGCUGUUAAAAUCAUGUUUUUCAUAAUCACGUUGGUGAUCGUUGGUCUUAGUACUUAAUUCAACUACUAAAUUAUGACCAACACUUGCGAAACUGAUGCCAUUCCCAUCAGCAUCAACUUUACUUUGUGUGAAGUGCUAAUUAGCAAAAGUUACACAGACACUGAACACAGGGUAAACAUUAACAUUCAUGCUGGUCAACAAAUCAGCAUGCGCGCUGAUCUUAGCCUGUAGCUCACAGCACUGCCGUCCCUCACACAGUGGACUCUUUGUCUAUAUUACCUCACAGUUUCCUUUGCAUUUGGAAUCAAAGUUGCUUUCAACUAUGCCCUUGUAUUUACUCUAACAGCCAGGUGAUAAAUACUUCUGUUAUCCAUAAAGGCUAAAAAACUCUCAAAAACCGUGUAUGAAUUUACACUAAUAAACUGUAAAACGUGUGACCAGUGUUGCUUGACUCCCCCAGGUAAUCACCGUCUGCGUAUUUUAGCUGUGUUCGAUAUCGGGGAAAUGCGGGCUUUGGCUAAAAUACAGGCUGGUUUGAGGAGCGACUGAAUAACCUCGAAUGUGUGUCAAUCGAGAAGAAAUCAGUUGCCACACGCAUGAUUUGGAGGUGUUUUUAUUGAUAUGGUGGCUCUAUAAGUAGCCCUCUACAGUCUUUGUUUGUGCGUUGCCUCUGGAGUCGAGUUAUGUGUCUUGGGGAUUUCCUCCUUCCAGAAGCACCCAUGGUUAUUAUUGUGGAGGAGGCUCUGAGCUCUGCAGUUCAACUCCUGUUUGAAAUUCAACAACAUUUUGCGUUGCAAACACUCCCAGAGAUCACAGCGAGAGCAGCCACGACAGUGGGUUCAUUCACGGAAAAGUCAAUCAUCUCUUUCCUUUCAUCUGAAAAAAAAAAUGUGACACGGUUAUUAUCAUCAUGACAGUUGUGUAAACCUAAAUUACGUAAUCGCACACAUACCUAAUGUAUGUGUAUGGGUAUGUGUGCAUGUGUAUGGGCAUAACAGAUUACUCUAUUGAGUCACAUUGAUUCCUCUGGAGAGGUUGUCUGCAUUAGCUCCUCUGCGUUCGCCAAAGCAACCAGGACUCAAGCGGUACUGUUGGAUCACUUGUGCCUCUUAACUCGCCGGGGCUUGUUCACGUUUAACCCUGUAAUUAAUACAACGUAACUAUGUAAGGAUCACUUGUUAAUGCACCGUGUGGCAAAGCCCUGUUUAAACUCAGAGAUGUCACAGUUACUAGGCUGUUUGUUUCACUACCCCCCAUGGCUAGCAGGUCUGUGACGUCUCAUGUGACGUACAGCUGAUGAUGUCAACCCCCCCAUGGUUCUUACUUCUGAAAAUUCUAGCGUCGCCUCGGCUCUCUGUGGAGAAGAAAGUUUCUGGGUUUCUGUUGCAGUGCAGCGGCGGGCCACUGAGAUAAGUUGCUGCACCUUACGCGGCACCAAUAGAGUUUUUAUGGAUUCCACUGCUUCUCUUUGGGUAGCCCGAAUUAUUCAAGCAUUGCACCCUGUACGAAAGGCUUUCUAGGCCCGUAACUCCUCAGGGUCAAAUAAGACAUUAUUUGUUUGACUUCAGCAUGGUCUCACAUUAAGCUGCACCCAAGCAGAAAAACAAUUAAACCGAGGCCUAUUUGUCUUAGAUAUGGAUCUCUAUUGAUCUCCUGCAGACAUUACUGCAUCGUUUGUUUUGGGCACAGUGUGCACACCGAGACACGCUCAAAAUAUUUAAUGAAAUCUGAUUGAAAUCAGUUCAGGCAUCUUUCUAAUGUUUCACAUACUGUACAUCAGAUCUGCGGCAAACAGUCUCGGAACCUCUUAGCAGGAUUGAGCUGUCAAUCAAGCUGUGGAGAAAACGUCUUUCUAUAAUUUGCUUAAGUCUAGCAGUUGGUUUUAAUGCGAGGAUGACAAACAACAUGCUUAAGAGUCUGUAAGAAUGUUCUGUGGUCACGGCUAGGAAUUACUUGGUGGUAUUUUACAGGUUUUGGACAUUGGCCAAUACCUGGCAUUUCAUCUGCCACUGUGAGCUAAACGUAUAUUGGGUUUAAAUGAGCUGAAAUGGGCAAUAGACGUGCAAGGUUUCACAGUAAAUUCUUCCCGCGUAUCGUUUUUCCCUCCCAUGUCUUUAAGUCGCUCGCUCUAAGCCCUCUUUUCUCUCUUUCGCCCCUUGUUUUGUUAUUUUACCUGGAGGUGCAGGUGUGAAAGGGUGAGGCCGUGGAAAAACAUUCGAUUCCGUAAGCUUGUCAUGGAGGAAUCCAUUGACUGACCUCUGCAUCCUUGGCACACAAUGACAAAUGGGUUUGCAAUUUUCCGCCUGACUGAGGGGCAACAAAGCCCAUUUCCACUUUCACCGGUGGGCAGUGAAAGUACAGUCUUCCUUUGUCGUUCCUCUGUCGUGCUCUCCAACUAGGAAGGGAGCAUUACACAUAGCUGGACUUUACUUUGGCGCUCUAAUGGUCAAAGUAGACAAUUACACUCUGUCUGAUCUAUCAGGACACACUGACUUCACAUAGUGAGGUAAUCUGUUGAUGAAGAAAGGAGAGCUUGUUUUUCUUGCAUCCUAUUUUUUAAGACUACUCCUCAAUUCAGAGAAUCUGUUAUCUUUCACAUAAAUAUACCACAACUUUUCUGUCAUUUUGUCUUUGCAUCAGUGAUUAAGAUGAAUCUGUCAUUUAAAUUGCUAGUUUACAUUGCUAUUGGCAGCACGUCUUUCAUUUGUUCCUCGACACAUAUUCUCCACCAAUAAAAUAGAAUCUUUUUUGUGGCAUGGGGUCCUGAAAUCUUUUCUAUGUACACAAAAAAGUACAUGGGUCGUCCGUGUGUACUGACAAGAGUAUCUUCAGCAUGGAGGAUGAGGAUCCUAAACAUGGAUUUAAAUGAAACGCUCGAUGGGCAUGUUUUUCAUCAUGCUUUUCCCAAACCCCAUUUAAAAAAAAUCCCAUUUGUUGCUCAAGUUGAUGAAUUAUUGUGUUUAUUUGUCUUGUGUUAAUACGUCUGUAAUCUCCCCGAAAUUAUGUUUUCACCUAUUUUUUUUACCAUUAUGCACCAAUGAUCAUUAUAUCCAUUAAGUGUUAAUACUUUUUCAGGCCUUAAAAACUCAUAUGUCAAAUAUUUGUCCAGCUGAACACAGUUUAUGUUGCACUGUGAGAUACAUCCAUCUUGUUUAUAACUACGCUGCACUGCUGAAGACGGCUGUUAAUUCCACGCUGCUAACCAGUGUUUUUUCUGCUGAUUGAAUUGCUUCCAAAGCCUUAAAGAAUGCUAUGGAAAUGAACCAAUUGACCUUUUUUCUGACCCUAAAGAUCCCUUCGCCCUGUGGGAGUAGAAACUGUGAGGCGGCACCAGAGUUGGGAAAUCAAAGAGAUCUAUGCUGCUAAUCGAGACCUACUGGCACUCCUCCAGCACGGCCUCAGCACACUAAAGAAUAAAAACUAUUUAUCCAAUAUGUUUAUUGGCUUGAUUGCUUCCAACAUAUUCCGUUCAACAAAGAAAAAUAGAUCUGUGUGUGAGUUGUUUGGGGCCCAGCAGCCCAGCAGGGCGUUCAUGUCCUGUAGGGAUAAUCUGCCAUGGUGCUGAGAGCCUAAUUGAUGCCUCAUGCUUUUCAGGGCGCAAUUAUAGCGCCCAAAUGUCAAGACCUAAUUUGUGACUCUGUAAUGUGGACACAUGGGCCUGAGGAAGCGGCGACACGGCUGAUCCAGCAGGACUCCCACAUUGGUUUGGUCAGCAGAUGUGAGGAGCGGGGGGUCCUUUUUUAGAAGAUAAAUGAUUUUUGCAAUGUAGACAAUGCUUCUUUCUUCUUCUUGAAUAUUUACUUGGACUACUUUCAGCAGUUAUAGAACAUAUACAUUUAAAAUCAAAGCAGCCAUCAAGUUGUAGUUAAAUAUAUAUGAAAUAUAUAUACUGUAGCGCUGUGCCUAAUAAAGCCCAAAAGAUUCCACACAUUAUUGUUCUGCUGUGGGGGUUAAAAACUCUUAUGCUUAUAUGUUUAUAUUUAAAUGAACCGAUCACAUCGCCUUUGGUAGCAUAUUCAAUUCAUCAUUACAUGCUUGAACUUCAGAAGAACUAUGUUAGUCCUAUCUGAAAUGUUAAAUAAAGUAGCACAAAAGGGAGAAUCCUUAAUGUAAUACUUAUUAAGUAGAGUGCCUGCGUUAAUAAAAAAAAAAAAGAUAUAAUGUUUUUGUGAACUAACAUACUUUAUAAAUAUGACAUUGAUAAGAAGAAGAAAAACACUGUCAAAAACCUAUUUUGUAUACCAAGUCUGACUGCCAGGUACCGUUUGUCUCUUUGUGCUGUAUCAGAUGCUCCAGACGCCUCCUCGGAUUCAGUGAAGUCAGAUCCCUUUGGUUAAACAAGAGCUCAGUCAGUUUGCAGGCCUGGAAACGCACAGCGGUGUUGUUCACUAUGCGUGCCUUGUUGCUAAACUGUAGAAAUUACAGUUCCCCUUCUUCUUUUGCUCCCCGAAAACAUUCUUGUUUUCUCUGUCUCCAUGGUGACGCAAACAGAGGGGCACAUUUUCCCCCGGAGCUGACAGCUUGCGAUGUGGAGCGUCAGUAAAUCAGGUCUGUUGCUCUAAUUGCCGCUCGUGGAAGGCCGACCGCAAGAUUCUCUCAGCUAUGACACGAAAAAUGAUUGUGCUCGACCGGAGUACAAUGCAGCAAGUGUGCAAGAUGGUUCGGUUUUUGGCCCGCAAAGCUGAUAUUGAAUGAUAUUUUGGACCCCUGGCUCCAGAUUUGACAAGAAGGAUUCUCUCUCUCUCUCUCUCUCUCUCUCUCUCUCUCUCUCUCUCUCUCUCUCUCUCUCUCCGGACUGGGAUGAAAGCCCAAAAGUAUCAAGUGGAUAACGCUAUACUUACACUUCUGCUGUAAUCCCUAUAAACACACAUGCAGCUCAUAAUUUGUGCGCACAGAGCCUGAAAUCAAUAGUUGCAGGAUUCAAAUGACACAAAGCUGCAGACAACCAUCCCUGCGCAAACACACUCUUAGAACUGGCCUCGGCUUUGGAGCAACAGGUGAGCUUCUCGGCAACUCCCCUGUCUUCCCCAACGUAGCCUUCUAAAUAUAGAAAUUAUGCUCUCUGAUAAUUGGGGGCAGACAACAAAGCCGGCUAUAUCUCCACCCUCCUCCUCCUUCUCUUGCUGCUGCUCCUAAGUCGUGUCCCCAGCUGACAAACAGCAGGACUGAGAUCAGAGUGUGAGAGCUUGAGUGCUGAGGGAACACCUGCGCUGUCUGACUGGACUGUGAGGAUAGACACAGAAGAUCACUGACUUCCACACCUGCCCAUGGACUCAUGCCACACACACACACACACACUUGAUUGGGUUUCCUCGAGAGCCCUUUAAGGCCAGCGCUGAGGAGGUGAUGAAAGUCAGGGAGCGUCGGUUAAGCGUGUGAGACGGCCCUCCGGAGUGGGUGCGGAUGAGAGGCUUAAGUGUUUUCAGCGACCACCUGCAGGAGGAGGAGCAGGGGGGGGAACAAAAGCAUCUGUCUCAGGGCCAGGUAGACGCCGAGAACAUCGGUCAAACGAGUGCCAAGGAGUGCUUCUGGGCGUCAGGAAUCAUAAGUCAGGAUUUCCAGCACGUUUAAAAAGGGUGACUUUCAAAAUGUCUGAAUGGGGAGCGGAGGGGGUUACACUGCUUGACUUGCACAGUCUGCUCUUCAUGGGCACGAGUGGCGAUGCCCUGAGACUUUAGUCUCUUUGCAAUGAGAAACAGAGCCUUCAGUUAAAGUCACGGGAAAACUGUAAUUCAGCCACACCCUCUUUAGCUGGGACAGGAAUGAGGCGAGCUGCUCUGCAUCACUUUCAUGCUUGUUAACUUUUCUCGUGAGCAAAAGAAAGACGAGCAAUUGACCGCAACUUUCCACGAAAAACAAGCACCAGACUCCCCUUUCAUGUUGCAAUAGAAUGUCGUGUGUUCACCUUGUUGAGGAGGGGCGGAGGGGGUUGUAUGUCCAUGCACGCCGCAGUUUAUAAUGCUCUCCGGGGCGGCUGUCAUGACAUGAAAUGAAUUCACAGUUGCUAUAUUUGGAUAAAAUGCAUUGUUUUCAAAUAUUUUCCAAAUGUUGCCAGUAAGUUAGAUUUUUUGGUCGUAUUACAGUUGAUCUCUAGCUGACCUUUUUUUAAAAGUAAAAGACGUAAAGGUACAGUGUCUCAGUCUUUAUACAAUUUAUACAGUUUCUAGUGGUUUUUCUAUAUACUGGAUGUAUUUAACUGUAAAAAUAGAUGUAGUAGAUGUUCUCAGGCUGGCAGGUGGGAAAGUCCCCCAGCAUCACACUCUAGACAGAAAAGAGUUGGCCGCCUCCAUGAAGAC